rnacentral:lncRNA from 1 species
AGGCUUUUACAAUAUCAUGCGUAGUGCAUGCGAAUGGCCUCAGGACUGCUCUACACGUCGGAGCAAGAAGCGUCAAGGCGGAAGAAGAAAAAGAGCGCAUGCGAGAAAACUGCGCUCAACAAAGUUAUCUCCUCCCUCUGCAGUAACCUGGACAAAGAGUGAGGACAAGAAAGUUGCGCUCAAGGAAGCCAUGCUCCUCAAUGACACCCUC